rnacentral:rRNA from 1 species
AUGGGUCAUGUUCAUGCACCAGAGAGCUGUUCGUCGUGCUGGGAGACCUUUGAUCCGCUAUGGUCCAUUGUUUCCCGGGAACAGGAGAGGAUCCAAAAUCUGAACUACAUCUACAACUGCAAUGACGUCGAGGCUCUGUGGAUGCUUCGAAUGAAAAGAGCACCAUUUGCCAGGCCUGUCGAGACCUUCAGGACCGGGGGGCUGCUACAAGAUAGCAUCAACACCAGUGUGGAAGAGCAAGUGGCCAUGUUCCUCCAUGUUGUUGGCCAUAAUCAGAGGUUCAUGGUCAUUCACAACAUGUUCAGGAGAUCAAUGGAGACCAUCUCUAGGUACUUCAAGCAAGUGCUUUUUGCUAUUGGGGAGCUUAGAGGAGAGAUGAUCAGGAGACCAUCUGGUCAGACUCCACCCAAGAUUCGCGGAAGCCCAAGAUGGUAUCCAUACUUCAAGGAUUGCAUUGGGGCAAUA